GAGGAUCCAAGCGUUAUCCGGAAUCAUUGGGUUUAAAGGGUCCGCAGGCGGUCUUUUAAGUCAGAGGUGAAAUCCUAUCGCUCAACGAUAGAACUGCCUUUGAUACUGAAAGACUUGAGUUAUUGUGAAGUGGUUAGAAUAUGUAGUGUAGCGGUGAAAUGCAUAGAUAUUACAUAGAAUACCGAUUGCGAAGGCAGAUCACUAACAAUAUACUGACGCUGAGGGACGAAAGCGUGGGUAGCGAACAGGAUUAGAUACCCUGGUAGUCCACGCCGUAAACGAUGGAUACUAGCUGUUUGACCAACAUUGGUUGGUUGAGUGGCUAAGCGAAAGUGAUAAGUAUCCCACCUGGGGAGUACGCUCGCAAGAGUGAAACUCAAAGGAAUUGACGGGGGCCCGCACAGGCGGUGGAGCAUGUGGUUUAAUUCGAUGAUACGCGAGGAACCUUACCAGGGCUUAAAUGUAAGUCGCAUGGACCAGAGAUGGACCUUUCUUCGGACUACUUACAAGGUGCUGCAUGGUUGUCGUCAGCUCGUGCCGUGAGGUGUCAGGUUAAGUCCUAUAACGAGCGCAACCCCUAUCGUUAGUUGCCAGCAAGUUGUGUUGGGUACUCUAGCGAGACUGCCGGUGCAAACCGAGAGGAAGGUGGGGAUGACGUCAAAUCAUCACGGCCCUUACGUCCUGGGCUACACACGUGCUACAAUGGUCGGUACAGAGAGCAGCCACUCCGCGAGGAGGAGCGAAUCUUCAAAACCGAUCUCAGUUCGGAUCGCAGUCUGCAACUCGACUGCGUGAAGCUGGAAUCGCUAGUAAUCGCAUAUCAGCCAUGAUGCGGUGAAUACGUUCCCGGGCCUUGUACACACCGCCCGUCAAGCCAUGGAAGCUGGGGGUACCUGAAGUCCGUCACCGUAAGGAGCGGCCUAGGGUAAAACUGGUAACUGGGGCUAAGUCGUAACAAGGUAGCCGUACCGGAAGGUGCGGCUGGAACACCUCCUUUCUAGAGAAAGACGACAACAACAAGAUUGAUAUCAGAAUGUUAUCGCUUGCUGUCAUUUUUUUAUAAUAUACUGUUUAUUGAAUCCCAAAAAAGUAGAGUCUCAUAGCUCAGCUGGUUAGAGCGCUACACUGAUAAUGUAGAGGUCGGCAGUUCGAGUCUGCCUGAGACUACUAUUUGUUGUAUAAGCAAGGGAUUUAAUAUAACAGAAACAGAGAUUCUAGGGUGAGUAAUUGGCCCCUUUAAAAGUAAGGUCCUAGUUAACACCAGGAUUUUUUACAUGGGGGAUUAGCUCAGCUGGCUAGAGCGCCUGCCUUGCACGCAGGAGGUCAUCGGUUCGACUCCGAUAUUCUCCACGAAUUAAUUUUAGGAUUAAUUAAAGUUCAUUGACAUAUUGAAAAGAUACAAGAGUUAACUAUUAUAUUAUAUAAUAGAGUAACGAGCAAAUAAUAGAGAAUUUUUUAUAAGUAAAAUACAAUUAAUAAAGAAAGAGUAAUAGGUUACGAUAGGCUAAUUAAGAGCGUAUGGGGAAUGCCUAGGCUCUCAGAGGCGAAGAAGGACGUGAUAAGCUGCGAAAAGUUACGGGGAGUGGCACAUACACUGUGAUCCGUAAAUAU
rnacentral:sRNA from 1 species